AAAAAUAUCGAGAAAAAGAGGGCGUGAGAACUAUAAUUUAUAGUUUCCAGUGGGCAAUUACUGACCUCAGCUCAAUGCACCACUAGGCCCCAAAAGAAAAGGGUAAGUAACGACAUAUAGUAAUAUGCAAUAAAUAGCGAACACGAAAACUGCUGAAAGAAAGCAUGAAUGAAAUGCUAUACUACUAUGUCUCCAAUAAGCAUGAUGUCAUGGUGAUGUA
rnacentral:lncRNA from 1 species